rnacentral:miRNA from 1 species
UGGGUCGGUGCUAUUAUGGCCC